UGUACCUAUACAAGUUAACGACCAGUUUAAAAUGUUAUUUUAAUAUCAUUUAAAAAUUAGUUUGAAGAAAAUAUUUUUAUCUAUUUCCUGGAACUCAAAAAAAUACGUUUGCACUCUGAAAUUAGUAAGGUGUCCAAGGCGUUUACUCAGAUGACACAUAUGUUUUAUAAUUUAUAAUAAUAGGUAUUAUGUUUAUUGCAUUGUACGCGAGUAUAAUGCGUCGUGUGUGUGUGAUAGAGCCAUUAGAUCAUCAAGAGAGCCGCCUUUGGUGGAAAAUGAUUGAUGAACGUGUAGGUAUACGCUCGCGUUUUACCAUUUAUAUGGUCUAUCGUCACGAAGAUCAUCGUCCGACGAAUUCGCAAACGUCUGAAAAUCUGUCAUCCAGUUGGUGUUAUAUCUAUACGACAACCAGCAAAAUGACUUUGCAUCGUUUUGAAUGACUUUUGCGAGUAUACCCAUUACUCACCUACAUAAUAUACACACAUGCUAUGGUUAUAAUACGACGUGGUUUUUGGCAAUUAAACGCGCUGUAAACAUUGGUAUAG